ensembl:lncRNA
GAGAGAGAGAGGACAGGGAUGCAUAAAGGACUAAGGGGCUUUCAGUCUGAUGUCUGCCUUCGUGAUGGUGUCUUCACAGAUAUAUCCCCAGGAGUGGAAUUGCUGAGUCAUAUGGUAGUUCUGUUUUUAGUUUUUUGACACAGAUCUGUAAUGUUUUCCACAGUGAAUACACAAAUUUUACAGUCUCAUCAAUACUGUACAAGAUUUUCCUUUUCUUCACAUCCUCACCAAUGUUUGUAACUUGUGUUCUUUUUAAUGACAUCACAUUAAAAAGCAGAGACAUUACUUUGCCAACAAAGGUCCAUCUAGUCAAAGCCAUGGUUUUUCAAGUAGUCAUGCAUGGAUGUGAGAGUUGGACUAUAAAGAAAGCUGAGCGCCAAAGAAUUGAUGCUUUUGAACUGUGCUGUUGAAGAAGACUCUUGAGAGUCUCUUGGACUGCAAGGAAAUCCAACCAGUCCAUCCUAAAGGAAAUCAGUCCUGAAUAUUCAUUAAAAGGACUGAUGCUGAAGCUGACGCUCCAAUACUUUGGCCACCUGAUGUGAAGAACUGACUCAUUGGAAAAACCCUGAUGCUGGGAAAGGUUGAAGGCAGGAGGAGAAGGGGACGACAGAGGAUGAGAUGGUUGGAUGGUAACACUGACUCAAUGGACAUGAGUUUGAGUAAGUUCUGCAAGUUGGGGAUGGACAGGGAAGCCUGGCGUGCUGCAGUCCCUGGGGUUGCAAAGAGUCAGACACGACUGAGCCACUGAGCUGAUUGACUCUAAUAGUUGUGAGGUGACACUUCAUUGUGGUUUUAAUUUACAUUUCUCUGAUGAUUAGUGAUGUUGAGCAUCUUUUCAAGUGCCUGUUGGCCAUCUGUGUGUCUUCUUUGGAAAAAUGUCUAUUCAAGUCUUCUUCCCAUUUUUUGAUUGGAUUGCUUUUUUUUUAACUUUUGAGUUGUAUGACCUCUUGAUAUAUUUUGGAUGUUAACCCCCUCUUCAUCAUAUGAUUUGUAAAUAUUUUCUCCCAUUCAGUAGGUUGUCUUUUCAUUUUUGUCAAUUAUUUUAUUUGAUGUGUGAAUGUUUUUAACUAUGUACUAGUUGUUAAUUUUUGCUUUUAUUUCCCUUGCUUCGGGAUACAGAUUAAAACAUAUUGUUAUGAUUUAUGUCAAAGAAUAUUCUGUGGUUUUUUUCCUAGUAGCUUUAUGGUUUUUGGUCUUACAUUUAGGUCUUUAAUAAAUUUUUGAC